rnacentral:misc_RNA from 1 species
GAUGAAGAACGCAGCGAAAUGCGAUAAUUAAUGUGAAUUGCAGAAUUCAGUGAAUCAUCGAAUCUUUGAACGCACAUUGCGCCCGCCAGUAUUCUGGCGGGCAUGCCUGUUCGAGCGUCAUUUCAACCAUCAAGCCCCAGGCUUGUGUUGGGGACCUGCGGCUGCCGCAGGCCCUGAAAACCAGUGGCGGGCUCGCUGUCACACCGGGCGUAGUAGAUUUUAUCUCGCUCAGGGCGUGCUGCGGGUCCCGGCCGUUAAAAGCCUUUUUUUACCCAAGGUUGACCUCGGAUCAGGUAGGAAGACCCGCUGAACUUAAGCAUAUCAAUAAGCGGAGGA